rnacentral:lncRNA from 1 species
CGCCCUCAUGACCUUCCACGUACGAGGGUCCCGCCCGCAUGAACUUCCGCGUACGAGGGUCCCGCCCUCAUGACCUUCCGCGUACGAGGGUCCCGCCCUCAUGAACUUCCGCGUACGAGGGUUCCCGCCCUCAUGGCCUUCCGCGUACCAGGGUCCCGCCCUCAUGGCCUUCCGCGUACGAGGGUCAGGCCCUCAUGACCUUCCGCGUACGAGGGUUACGCCCUCAUGACCUUCCGCGUACGAGGGUUACGCCCUCAUGACCUUCCGCGUACGAGGGUUACGCCCUCAUGACCUUCCGCGUACGAGGGUUCUGCCCUCAUGACCUUUUCACCUUCCGGAGGUCCUGCCUCCUAGCCCCAUCACCUUGCGGGUGAGGAUUUCAACAGAUGAAUAUGGCGGUGGGGGGGUGUAAACAUUCCGAUCGCAGCAGCCACCCACGUAUCACCUUGGUCUGGGGUGUAGCAGGCAUUGCCAGGGCUCAGCCAAAGCCGGGCUCCAGCUGCUCGUGGAGAUAACAAAGGCUUCUGUGGCCUCAUCUACUUCAUUGUGACGAGGUCGAGGCUGUAAGGGGCCAAGUGGAUGAUUUAGCUCAACAGCUAAAUGAUGUUCUGGGAGAAAGGGACUGAGGCUGCCGUGGACAGUGGUCAUCUCGGGCUUCGAAGUCAAUGUGAAGUCAACGUCUAAUGGACCCGAGUUCAGCCAAGAACACACACCAGUUGUUCCAGGGAAGAAUCUCAUGGUGAAGCACUAGUGAGCGUCCAAGCAACUCCCAGCCUAACCUCACCGGUCUGACUGUGGGGCUGCUUCUGCCACGGCUCCUGGCUGGCGAUGGGGCUGUCAGCGUGUCAGCCAACCAUGCAUUGCAGAUGCACUUUGAAGAAAAUUAAUGUACCUGGGUACUUAUGGGACUCCCUGAAUGAGUGGGUAUAAUUGAAAUAGCCGGGACAUCAAAAAGCUGGAACACUGGGAGCCUGGCCCUAGGGUGGCGGAGGCCACAACGGAGCCCCCAGCCGGUUGGAAAGAGGCUUCCUAUGCUCUCCUUUCCAUGCCACUGCGGAAGUGCUAGGGAACAGGAAGACCAGGGCAUUGCCAAGUGAAUAAUAACAACCAUGUGUGCGGCGUUCACGAUACCCCAGGCUCAGUGAGCCUUUUACUCAGGGUCUCAUGUGAUGCUGAAAACAAUCCCAUGAAGUUUAGAAGCCUGUGCACACGAAGAGACGUGGUGUUUCCCUAUUGAUCCAAACUGCAUGCUGACCUGUUCCUGCCAGGGCUGCGCUCCUCCUGCUUUGCCCUGGCUCUCCCGUUCUGCACUCCCUCUUCUACCGGGAAUUCCUGGAAGCACCUUUUAUUCACAGUGCCUGCUUUGAAUAGAUACAAAUACAAUUUGUAUCUUAUGUAGUCCAUUCCACACAAUUGAAAAUAUAAUGUAAUAAAAAUCAGAAAAGUAAAUCCAGGAAAGUCUCUAACACAUAUUAGGGCCUCAAUAAAUGGACCCUAAGAGGGUGGGGAAAUGGCUUUGGUUUUUAACUGUGCUUCUUUUGAGCUUGAUGCUGUUAACUUAGUACAAUCUAUCAAUAAAUAUCGUCAUCAAGAAAAUAUUAAAGGUGUACCUGAGUCACAGGGGAGGAGGUGCAGGGCUUCUGAGAAAAUGUCCUUCAGUCACCAGCCGGUGAACAAUGGGACUCGUUAUUGUCCCCUCACCCUGCAUACCACCAGGGGGCACUGAUGAGCUGAGAAAGACUCUGUGGUCCAAAAACGGUACCAAAUGAAAAGGCCACUUCCCAGCCUCUGUAAUAAAAGGCGAAAAGCAGUCAGGGAAUUUAGUCAAGACCUUAUUCAGAUGGCGGGAGGAGAGGGGGCGGAGCAGCCAGUGUUGAAAAGGGUUUUAUCCAAACCAGUUUAAUAUCUUUAAAAAAAAUUGUUGGGCAUUUUUUUUUUUUUUUUGAGACGGAGUUUCACUCUUGUUGGCCAGGAUAGCAAUUUUUACUUCUGAUAAUUUUCUCCUCACUACUGUCAAAUCAAGUUUAGCUUAAAGCUG